rnacentral:rRNA from 1 species
UACGAAGGGGGCUAGUGUUGUUCGGAAUUACUGGGCGUAAAGCGUGCGCAGGCGGCUUCUCAAGUCAGGGGUGAAAGCCCAGAGCUUAACUCUGGAAUUGCCUUUGAGACUGAGAGGCUUGAGUACGGGAGAGGUGAGUGGAAUUCCCAGUGUAGAGGUGAAAUUCGUAGAUAUUGGGAAGAACACCGGUGGCGAAGGCGGCUCACUGGCCCGUAACUGACGCUCAUGCACGACAGCGUGGGGAUCAAACAGG